UUAAUACUCCCUCCGUCCGGAAAUACUUGUCAUUGAAAUGGAUGUAUCUAGAUGUACUUUAGUUCUAGAUACAUCCAUUUUCAUCCAUUUUGAUGACAAGUAAUUCCGGACGGAGGGAGUAUAUG
rnacentral:pre_miRNA from 1 species